AUACAUGCAGUCGAGCGGACAGAAGGGAGCUUGCUCCCGGAUGUUAGCGGCGGACGGGUGAGUAACACGUGGGUAACCUGCCUGUAAGACUGGGAUAACUCCGGGAAACCGGAGCUAAUACCGGAUAGUUCCUUGAACCGCAUGGUUCAAGGAUGAAAGACGGUUUCGGCUGUCACUUACAGAUGGACCCGCGGCGCAUUAGCUAGUUGGUGAGGUAACGGCUCACCAAGGCGACGAUGCGUAGCCGACCUGAGAGGGUGAUCGGCCACACUGGGACUGAGACACGGCCCAGACUCCUACGGGAGGCAGCAGUAGGGAAUCUUCCGCAAUGGACGAAAGUCUGACGGAGCAACGCCGCGUGAGUGAUGAAGGUUUUCGGAUCGUAAAGCUCUGUUGUUAGGGAAGAACAAGUGCAAGAGUAACUGCUUGCACCUUGACGGUACCUAACCAGAAAGCCACGGCUAACUACGUGCCAGCAGCCGCGGUAAUACGUAGGUGGCAAGCGUUGUCCGGAAUUAUUGGGCGUAAAGGGCUCGCAGGCGGUUUCUUAAGUCUGAUGUGAAAGCCCCCGGCUCAACCGGGGAGGGUCAUUGGAAACUGGGAAACUUGAGUGCAGAAGAGGAGAGUGGAAUUCCACGUGUAGCGGUGAAAUGCGUAGAGAUGUGGAGGAACACCAGUGGCGAAGGCGACUCUCUGGUCUGUAACUGACGCUGAGGAGCGAAAGCGUGGGGAGCGAACAGGAUUAGAUACCCUGGUAGUCCACGCCGUAAACGAUGAGUGCUAAGUGUUAGGGGGUUUCCGCCCCUUAGUGCUGCAGCUAACGCAUUAAGCACUCCGCCUGGGGAGUACGGUCGCAAGACUGAAACUCAAAGGAAUUGACGGGGGCCCGCACAAGCGGUGGAGCAUGUGGUUUAAUUCGAAGCAACGCGAAGAACCUUACCAGGUCUUGACAUCCUCUGACAACCCUAGAGAUAGGGCUUUCCCUUCGGGGACAGAGUGACAGGUGGUGCAUGGUUGUCGUCAGCUCGUGUCGUGAGAUGUUGGGUUAAGUCCCGCAACGAGCGCAACCCUUGAUCUUAGUUGCCAGCAUUCAGUUGGGCACUCUAAGGUGACUGCCGGUGACAAACCGGAGGAAGGUGGGGAUGACGUCAAAUCAUCAUGCCCCUUAUGACCUGGGCUACACACGUGCUACAAUGGACAGAACAAAGGGCUGCGAGACCGCAAGGUUUAGCCAAUCCCACAAAUCUGUUCUCAGUUCGGAUCGCAGUCUGCAACUCGACUGCGUGAAGCUGGAAUCGCUAGUAAUCGCGGAUCAGCAUGCCGCGGGGAAUACGUUCCCGGGCCUUGUACACACCGCCCGUCACACCACGAGAGUUUGCAACACCCGAAGUCGGUGAGGUAACCUUUAUGGAGCCAGCCGCCGAAGGUG
rnacentral:rRNA from 1 species